GGGGACGUCGUAUAACCUGGCUAUUAUCGCCGGCUCCAGACCGGCUGAUCUUUUGCAAGAAAUUGCAUAGAGCCGAAAUCGGGGUUCAAAUCCUCGCGUCCCCA
rnacentral:tRNA from 1 species